rnacentral:rRNA from 1 species
GGGGGCAACCCUGAUCCAGCAAUGCCGCGUGAGUGAAGAAGGCCUUCGGGUUGUAAAGCUCUUUUGUCAGGGAAGAAACAGCAGCUCUAACACAGUUGUGAAUGACGGUACCUGAAGAAUAAGCACCGGCUAANUACGUGCCAGCAGCCGCGGUAAUACGUAGGGUGCAAGCGUUAAUCGGAAUUACUGGGCGUAAAGCGUGCGCAGGCGGUUAUAUAAGACAGGUGUGAAAUCCCCGGGCUUAACCUGGGAAUUGCAUCUGUGACUGUAUAGCUAGAGUGUGUCAGAGGGGGGUAGAAUUCCACGUGUAGCAGUGAAAUGCGUAGAUAUGUGGAGGAAUACCAAUGGCGAAGGCAGCCCCCUGGGAUAACACUGACGCUCAUGCACGAAAGCGUGGGGAGCAAACAGGAUUAGAUACCCUGGUAGUCCACGCCCUAAACGAUGCUGACUAGUUGUUCGGGAUUUUAUCCUGAGUAACG